rnacentral:rRNA from 1 species
GCAUAUCAAUAAGCGGAGGAAAAGAAACCAACAGGGAUUGCCCUAGUAACGGCGAGUGAAGCGGCAACAGCUCAAAUUUGAAAUCUGGCUUUCGGGCCCGAGUUGUAAUUUGUAGAGGAUGAUUUUGAUGCGGUGCCUUCCGAGUUCCCUGGAACGGGACGCCAUAGAGGGUGAGAGCCCCGUCUGGUUGGAUGCCAAAUCUCUGUAAAUCUCCUUCGACGAGUCGAGUAGUUUGGGAAUGCUGCUCUAAAUGGGAGGUAUAUGUCUUCUAAAGCUAAAUACCGGCCAGAGACCGAUAGCGCACAAGUAGAGUGAUCGAAAGAUGAAAAGCACUUUGAAAAGAGAGUUAAAAAGUACGUGAAAUUGUUGAAAGGGAAGCGUUUAUGACCAGACUUGGGCUUGGUUAAUCAUCUGGGGUUCUCUCCAGUGCACUUUUCCAGUCCAGGCCAGCAUCAGUUUUCGCCGGGGGAUAAAGGCUUCGGGAAUGUGGCUCCCCUCGGGGAGUGUUAUAGCCCGUUGUGUAAUACCCUGGUGGGGACUGAGGUUCGCGCUUCUGCAAGGAUGCUGGCGUAAUGGUCAUCAACGACCCGUCUUGAAACACGGACCAAGGAGUCGUCUUCGUAUGCGAGUGUUCGGGUGUCAAACCCCUACGCGUAAUGAAAGUGAACGCAGGUGAGAGCUUCGGCGCAUCAUCGACCGAUCCUGAUGUUCUCGGAUGGAUUUGAGUAAGAGCAUACGGGGCCGGACCCGAAAGAAGGUGAACUAUGCCUGUGUAGGGUGAAGCCAGAGGAAACUCUGGUGGAGGCUCGCAGCGGUUCUGACGUGCAAAUCGAUCGUCAAACAUGGGCAUGGGGGCGAAAGACUAAUCGAACCUUCUAGUAGCUGGUUUCCGCCGAU